GGUGAUUAUAACUCAGUUGGUUAGAGUGUUAGGUUGUGGUCCUAAAAACACGGGUUCAAAUCCCGUUAUUCACC
rnacentral:tRNA from 1 species